ACGCUGCUGCUGAGCCCCUACUGAGCCUGCGCGUGGUGUGGGGUCAGACUGCAGCACCGGAGCACGUGCUUGUGCAUAACCGGGGCUGCCUGCUCCCCUCCAGUGGCCCUUUUAGCCCUGAGCUCUGUGG